GACGAACGCUGGCGGCGUGCUUAACACAUGCAAGUCGAGCGGAAAGGCCCUUUCGGGGGUACUCGAGCGGCGAACGGGUGAGUAACACGUGAGUAAUCUGCCCCUGGCUUUGGGAUAGCCACCGGAAACGGUGAUUAAUACCGGAUACGACCACUUCUCGCAUGGGAUGGUGGUGGAAAGGUUUUCGGCCAGGGAUGUGCUCGCGGCCUAUCAGCUUGAUGGUGAGGUAAUGGCUCACCAUGGCUUCGACGGGUAGCCGGCCUGAGAGGGUGACCGGUCACACUGGGACUGAGACACGGCCCAGACUCCUACGGGAGGCAGCAGUGGGGAAUAUUGGACAAUGGGCGGAAGCCUGAUCCAGCAACGCCGCGUGAGAGACGACGGCCUUCGGGUUGUAAACCUCUUUCAGCAGGGACGAAGCGCAAGUGACGGUACCUGCAGAAGAAGCACCGGCCAACUACGUGCCAGCCGCCGCAGUAA
rnacentral:rRNA from 1 species